rnacentral:tRNA from 1 species
UCCAGUGUUGCUCAGUUGGUAGAGCAUGGCACUUGCAAUGCCAGGGUUGUGGAUUCAAUUCCAACAUGGGAC